ACUCCUACGGGAGGCAGCAGUGGGGAAUAUUGCACAAUGGGGGAAACCCUGAUGCAGCCAUGCCGCGUGUGUGAAGAAGGCCUUCGGGUUGUAAAGCACUUUCAGUAGGGAGGAAGGUAGUGUAGUUAACACCUGCACUAUUUGACGUUACCUACAGAAGAAGCACCGGCUAACUCCGUGCCAGCAGCCGCGGUAAUACGGAGGGUGCGAGCGUUAAUCGGAAUUACUGGGCGUAAAGCGCAUGCAGGCGGCCUGUUAAGUCAGAUGUGAAAGCCCGGGGCUUAACCUCGGAAUUGCAUUUGAAACUGGCAGGCUAGAGUCUUGUAGAGGGGUUAGAAUUUCAGGUGUAGCGGUGAAAUGCGUAGAGAUCUGAAGGAAUACCAGUGGCGAAGGCGGCCCCCUGGACAAAGACUGACGCUCAGAUGCGAAAGCGUGGGAGCAAACAGGAUUAGAUACCCCUGGUAGCGACUGA
rnacentral:rRNA from 1 species